rnacentral:lncRNA from 1 species
GUCUGGACACNGAGCAAGGGUGGAAUUUCCCACUCCGGCGUUUAGGAUUCUGUAACUGCUGAUCUGGGAAUGUGGCAGGACAAAGUGAGGCAAUCCCUGGGGCCCCUACGAAGCCCCCCUGUUGGGUGCGGGGGGCUGAACCUGGGCCCCCGAAGCGAGAUCCCUGGCUGUGCUGAUUGUGGGGCAGUCAUGGGGGGAGCUGGCCCCCAUAUCCACGACUGGGGAUCAGAACGGAUAGAGCCCUGCGGCAUCAGGUGAGUCCUGUGCUCUGUAGCUCCUCAACCCAAAAGGAUGAAAAUGGGGAUAGAGGGUUGGAAGAAAAAGAGGUAUCCCCCACCUGCCUAAACAUCUGUGCCUCGCUGUUGUUCCCCCUUCUCCAAAGCUGCAGUACACGGCAAAGCCCCCAGGUGACGUGUGAAGCACGUAUCCCUUCAACAGAAACCACCCCAGCUGCAGGAGGUGAGUACAGAAGCUGUUUGGGGGGGUAUAAACUGGACAACCAGAGCGGGGGUUCUCUUUGACAAUUGAUUUUUAAAGCCUUUUUGUUUUCAACUGGGCAGUAGUGGACUUUCUGAUCAACUCCCUUCCAAGCCACGAUGGCUCAAGGGGCUCUUUCAUCUCUACUCCACAGUGUGAACAAGGAAUGGAGUAUUGGUACAGCCUGUGCUUGAAAAGUCACUCACCGCCAUUUCCUUGAGCUUUUGACAAUGAGCAGCUGAAAUUAGAGUGUGGGCUGUGCCAAAAUCUCUUCCCUGUCCAUCCUGCAAAAAACGAUUAAAGAAUCCCUUGCCUGCUUCUGUUUUAGAACAAGAGGAGCCAUCCUGGAGAUGGGGGUGCAGAAUGAGAGCUUCAGGGACCAAUCCGUCACCAUAUGCUUCCUUCCAAUUUAAAGAAUAGUGGAACAUAGGCAACCAUUUGGUACUGCUAGUAGGAGAACCUUUGCUCCUGCCACUGGAGCGGGCUUGUAAAUAACUAAUUGUCCAUGGCAAAUAAGUGUCGCUUGAAGUCUCUACAAAAAGUUUAUUCUUUCACUCCCUGCUACUCCCUGAGUACAGACUAACAGGGGCAGAUGGGAGGCAGGAAGAUCUUUUUGUGAAACGCAGGUGAAGUCAGGAUUGACUUCUCUGUGUGCACCAAAAUUUCCCGUUGCCUUUUCUGCCCAAGUUGGCCAAAGGAAGCACUGCAGACUCUUGCCACUGUGGUGUCUGUUCACCCCCAAGGUAUUUAGCAAGAGAGAAACCUGCCCCCUGAAACAAAG